rnacentral:lncRNA from 1 species
AGUUUACAUCUAACUGGCAGCUGCAGGUCCUGGCAACCACAUAGCUGGGCAGAUGUUAGAAAUCUGAGCUGAGCUGCAGCAGCUGGAAUGGCCAAGUGGGUUCCCCAGAGCCAAGGUCUGGGAAAGAAGUACACAAAUGACUUUGGGAACACCAUCUUUCUAGAAGACGAGAAGCCCAGUCUCUGUUUAAAAGGCCUUAGAGCCAACAGAGGGUUUAAAUCAUGCAUACUGAGCACUGAGCUUCUGUGCAAGGAAGAAUAAAUAAAUGAAAGAUGCCAUGAAGGAGAAUGCUUGGCUGGCCACUGAGAAGUACAUACAUUUGAAUCUGUUUCCCUCGAGCAAUGCAUUCAGACAGGUUGCUCAGUUCCAUCACCCGGGGAUUCACUCCUUCUUCAGGUCAAUCUAACUUGCUGAUGGUUUGCUGUUCUUCUGACCACACUAUUGCCUCUGUAUGUCUACUCAGCCAUUUGCAUCUCCCCCAAGUUACAGCCCACCCAGAAUUGGAAGUCAUCUUAGGGACACUCAGGUACCUGUGUCCUGCUGUCUGACCCUACUCCCCACCCAGUCCCCAGAUGGGGAACACAAAAAUUAUGU